rnacentral:tRNA from 1 species
AGGAUGUAGCUCAGUAGUAGAGCACUUGUCUAGAAUCCUCAAGGCCCUGGGUUCAAUUCUCAGCACUG